CCUACGAGAGGCAGCAGUGAGGAAUAUUGGUCAAUGGGCGAGAGCCUGAACCAGCCAAGUCGUGUGAAGGAUGACGGCCCUACGGGUUGUAAACUUCUUUUGUCAGGGAGCAAUUGGGUCCACGCGUGGGCUUAGCGAGAGUACCUGAAGAAAAAGCCUAGGCUAACUCCGUGCCAGCAGCCGCGGUAAUACGGAGGAUGCGAUCGUUAUCUGGCUUUAUUGGGUUUAAAGGGUGCGUAGGCGGGAUAGCAAGUCGGCGGUAAAAAUUAGGGGCUCAACCCCGUCGUGCCGUUGAAACUGAUGUUCUUGAGUGGGGGAGAAGGAGGCGGAAUGCGUGGGGUAGCGGUGAAAUGCAUAGAUAUCCCGCAGAACUCCGAUUGCGAAGGCAGCAUACCGGCGCCCAACUGACGCUGAAGCACGAAAGCGUGGGUAUCGAACAGGAUUAGAUACCCCUGGUAGUC
rnacentral:rRNA from 1 species